UCCCGAACUUGGGUGAUCGUCGCAGC
rnacentral:piRNA from 1 species